rnacentral:rRNA from 1 species
CUUAACUGACGCUAAAGCUCGAAAGUGCGGGUAUCGAACAGGAUUAGAUACCCUGGUAGUCCGCACGGUAAACGAUGGAUGCCCGCUGUAUGCGAUACACUGUAUGCGGCCAAGAGAAAUCGUUAAGCAUCCCACCUGGGGAGUACGCCGGCAACGGUGAAACUCAAAGGAAUUGACGGGGGCCCGCACAAGCGGAGGAACAUGUGGUUUAAUUCGAUGAUACGCGAGGAACCUUACCCGGGCUUGAACUGCAGCUGAACGAUCCAGAGAUGGUGAGGCCCUUCGGGGCAGCUGUGGAGGUGCUGCAUGGUUGUCGUCAGCUCGUGCCGUGAGGUGUCGGCUUAAGUGCCAUAACGAGCGCAACCCCUUCCGUCAGUUGCCAUCACGCAAUGGUGGGCACUCUGGCGGUACUGCCACCGUAAGGUGCGAGGAAGGUGGGGAUGACGUCAAAUCAGCACGGCCCUUACGUCCGGGGCUACACACGUGUUACAAUGGGUGGUACAGAGAGUCGGCCGUGUGCAAACCCGGUCCAAUCAAUAAAGCCAUCCUCAGUUCGGAUUGGGGUCUGCAACCCGACCCCAUGAAGCUGGAUUCGCUAGUA